UUAGGAAUGUAUCAGAAAGAAUGAACAAAAUAGUAGAUGUGUCUGAAAACAUCAAAUAGGGCACAGACACUUUAGGGCCAUUCCUGCAUUUGCAGUCUCGUAAUAAGAGCAUGGUACUAAGAAUCAAGAGAUUUUGGUUCUAAUGCCAGCUCUCUCAAUGAGUUAUGUAGCUGUGGACAAUUCACUUAACCUCUGCCUCAGUUUCUAACAGUUAGGGUAAUAAUCACCUAUCAACAUCACAGAGGAUUAAUUGGUGCUUUGGACAUGUAAUUAUUGUUGCAGGCCCUAUGCUCAAAUAUCACAAAGAAGGGCAUAAGAAGCACUGAACAGAAUAUGAAGGCAAAAUUCCUGUUGACUUCCAUGUUUAUCUGCACCAGAGGAAUUGGAGCAGAAUUGCAGACCAACAAAUGAAGUGAGCUGAAGGCAAUUUGACCAAUGUUUUCUGUGUGAAUUCCACAGAGGCUGAUGAAGCAUGUUAUCAGGUCUCCAAGGUCCAGUGUCAAUACAUUAUGAAGAUGUGGCAUUUGAGAGGGUUUUCUUUUACAUGGAGGAACACCAUGGAGAAUGGAACAGAAGAACAGGUAAACUGGUUUUAAAAGGGAAUAAAAAGGAGCCAAUAAUUAUGCCUCACUCUGCUUGCAAAUCAUGUUCAGGACCUCAUAUGGUGUGAACUGGCCUAGCUCUAUUGAUACCAAUAGAGCUAUGCCAAUUUAUAGUAGCUGAGGAUCUGUCUUAAUACCAUUUUUAGACACUGGCACUGGAAUUCACACUUUAGUGUCAAAAUUGAAAAACUUUGAAAAUGCACUACCUUUCUUCCUAUCCCCGAGUAACUGAAGGCUUGCUGACUGUGGCAGAUUAAUGGAAGUAGCCAAUAACUGUGUACAAGUUAUAGUUUGACACACAAGCAGAACAAUGUGGUUUUGCCCCUUGCUUCUAGACAAAUGAAUAUUUAUAUGCAAGACCUAAUUUUCCCUCUAGUAACAAUUUAAUAACAUCAAGGGGAUGCUAUUAACUGUUAAAUGUUGUCAGUGCAAGUUAAAGAUGCUGUAAGCCACUCAAAGCAUUUACCACCGAGCUACAUUAACAUAAUCUUUCAAUCAGUGCAGAAGCUGCAUAGAAUUUUUUUUAAAUGUAUCCCUAAAGAGAGAUGCUAGGAGUGCAAUUCUUAGAACCUGUAUGUACUUGCAAGAAAUCCCCAAUUCCAGACUAUUUGUACAACCAGGUGCUUUUCUUAACAGUCUCACUGCUUGUAAGGGCAGCAAGAGAGAUUCAAAAGGAUGUUCAAUGCAGGCAGCAUGGAUCCAGACUUAUUUGGCAUCUAUCAUGUAUUCCCCAAUGGGUGGGUGGAGGAGGGAAAAGGAAGGGGAGGGACAAAGAAAGAGAGCAGGGGAAAGUUUCAAAUUACAGCUGCAGUAACUAUUUCUAAAUAGGAAAGGAAGCCUAAAUAACUGUCCCAUAUAGGGAAACUGAUAAACAUGAGUGGUAGUGAACAGUGAAAUCUAGUUGCUGAUAUUAGCCAAUAUUAUGCAGUUAAACAUUCUUCUUUGAGAACAGAUAAAAAGUCAAGAUGUGGACGCCCGUUAAUUAAGAGUAGAGAUGUAGCUUCCCCAGCAGCAAAGUAAUUGUUUGUGGAGCACCCUCCCCACCCCCAUAUCUUCAAUUUAGGUCAGGCAUCAAGAGGAGGAAAAAAGGACUGGAGACUGAAGAUGAGAUGCUCUAUUUCACACAGUUGCCCUCUGGAAGGGCUGGCAAAGGCAGUCACUUAAAUUAAGUGCAGGUCAUCAGACAAGAUAUCUAAUCUAUUCCUGAAACAGACAACCUCAACAGCCCAAAUCCCUAUGGCCUUUACAGCGACACAAUGAACUGCUUCCUCAUGUACCCUCUGUCAAUUCAUGUUAGGUUCCUACUUUUUAAAAAGUGAUAUUUCAUGUACACUAUGACCCUAUUGCUCAUAGCAAGGAAAGUGCUUUGGUUUAUUUAUGACCUACUAACCUUAAAUAAAAAAAAGCAUACAACUAAUCUGAAUGUUCUCAUAAGCCUGGAGAUUUGAAAUAAAACUUAAAAUAAAUCUGGCAUUUGUAGCACAGCUAGCUAAGCUAUAUUUGCCCAGUUGGGAAUUUUUUUUUAAAUGAAAACCAGAUGACAAGAGGAAAGCAUUAUUACCCUGCAUAAACUUCAAGGUUUGGGCAUCAGGACUGCAGCUCACAAGUGCCUGGAUUUCCCAUGAGCCUCUGCUUCCAUCAGCAUAGAGUUAAAUAAAGCAAGACUGUGGUUUUACAUCUAUCUCCAGUCUAGAAGACUAGAAUGAAAAGCCAGCUGUAGUUUUUGAGAUAGAACUUAACCCAGCCACAAAACCUAGCCUUGGAAAUAGAGACGUUGGUUAUCAGCCAGACAAGAUCGUUUUUUUUUGUUUGUUUGUUUUUUAAACAAAGUGACAGAAGGAGAAAGAAAUGAAGAAUAAAAAAGCAAACAUCCUCCAUUUUCUAUGCUAAAAUGUGAGUGACCCUAAACUCUACUCAUUGAACACAUGCAGAUAGGAACAAAGGCCUAUUGAAUUCAGGAGCCUGUUUCUCCACUCAGUCAUGAUGAUGUAAAUCAGGAGCAACUUCAUUGAAGCCAAUGGAGUUGCACUGGAAUAAAACCAGUGCAAGUGAGCAGAUAAUCAAACCGCAAGACUGUGGUCUGCUAUAUGUGGACACAUCACAAGUUCUUGGCUGUAUUGGCAAAACAAGUUUACUCUGCAUUUACUUUGAAUUCUGAAGCUUUCACAAUUGCAAGUGAUACAUUUCCCAGGCCAAAAAAAAGGGGGGGGGGAGAAAAGGGAAGCAUCCUGUCUACAAGCACACUAUAGCCCACAAAAGAAAAAGGACCCCAGUUUAUAAUUUUAAAUUAAUGGAGAUAUCCCAUCUCCUAGAACUGGAAGGGACCUUGAAAGGUCAUCGAGUCCAGCCCCCUACCUUCACUAGCAGGACCAAGUACUGAUUUCGCCCCAGACCCUUAAGUGGCCCCCUCAAGGAUUGAACUCACAACCCUGGGUUUAGCAGGCCAAAUGCUACUGCAAUCAUGUUUAUGUGAACCAGUAUGAUAUUCUGUUGGAUAAAGGACAGCAAAUCAUUUAUCUUAGUUUACUAUUACAUGUUAAAAAAGUGGGGCAAUCAAUUCCAGUAUAUGCAGGACAGAUCACUUAAAAGAAAUAGCUAUGACUUAAAAUACUUGCUAGGGAGCCUUAUUUACCAUACUAAAGGAAAUAGCACACAGUCAUGGUAUGUGGUGUCUUUUAGCUUUGGGUUCCUAUUUAUGCAAAUAUUAGCAAGUUGAUGCUUGAAGUGACUGAAAAUAGGUUAUGCAUUGAAAUGCCAAAUAUGCCACACCCCCACUUGGAAACAAGAUUUCAGAUGCAGCAUUUAAUGAAAACCAACAAAUUAUCAGUUUCACGAUAACUAAUUCUACUGCACAGUAAGAUAAAGACUCUAGUUGAGCUUGAACCUUUCAAGGGAAUUCUCUUCUGCAGGCCAAUUCUGCUUGCCAGUGCAGAGAGUAAGCAAGGUAGAUAAGUCUCACUCUCACAUCAUGCAUCCGAAGAAGUGGGUAUUCACCCACGAAAGCUCAUGCUCCUAUACGUUUGUUAGUCUAUAAGGUGCCACGGGACUCUUUGCUGCUUUUAAAGUCUCACUUUGUCCUCUGAUUCAUACUCGUGUCUUUCCACUUCCCAACCCUUCCAAUUAAUAGCCAAGGAAGACAAAUCUUUGUUGCGUUACACAUGAAUUGCAAUACUAUGUUCACUUCCAUUUUUCUAAAAGCCAGUUUUGAUAGAAGAGAAAGUCUAAAUGAACUGGCAAGGUUUAGAGGAAAGGCAAACAACUUCCAUUAUUGCUGGAGUCUUAUCAGAAGGAGCACUUCACGAAGUGUGAUCAUCCAAUCCUUGAUAUGGACAAGACACUUAAACAAAAACAAAAAACUUACCACACCUCUCACUGCACGCCAAGAAGGAAUCUAAGUUAGAAUGACUCAGAUAAGUUCACCUCUUACUCUCAUGCUAGAUUUUCAUAACAGGUGGAGCCAACUCCAAUUUACAUUUAAAGAAUAUCUAACACUGCAUCAGACUGCAAUUUGAUUACCUCUAAACUAGUAUAAUGGGAUUUCAGUUGACUUCUUAAGUUAGGCAGAUGUGUGUGGUGGAUAGGUAUGUAGAAAGGCUUUCUAAAUUAGACUAACUGCAUGGGUUUUAUAGAAGCAUUUGAAGAAACAGGAUGCUCCUUUUAGAACAGACAAUUAAUUUAAUAUAGUACUACUGGCAUAUAUGGUAAUUUACAAAGAGAAUGAAGUCGUUCUACUUCCCCAUCCUCCCCAAGAAGCUUAUUGAGAAACAUAUGCUGCUUAAAACAGUCAAUACCCGACAAUCUUAAACAGAUUCAGGUUUGAUUGAAUUCACCCAACAGAAGAGACUUUAUUGGGACUGGGCAAUCUAUUAGUGACAUUGCAGGUUCAUUGUGCUUUUGCCCAGUUGUGUAGAAGUAUGGGAUUACACACUUUGAUAACACAUGGUUUGACUGACAACCCUAGAUAACUUUGGUCUAGAUUUCUAAACUAGAUAAAUAAAGCUUUUCAAUAAAUGAAACAGACCUUUUCUUUUCAUAGGAUCAAAGCCUGGAGAGUUGCCAGUUCCUUGCUGUAGGAUUAUAAUAGAACGGGCCAAGGAAGGUGGGUGGUGGUGCUAAGGGAACAGUGACAAACUGCAUAAUCUGUAUGAUUAAAACCAUUGUGUCAGUUAUGAUUUUCCCCCCCUUUCAGAUUUUUAAGGAUGCUGUCAAGUCAGUGGAGUUCUCUUUUUAGUGGUUGCUUCAGUGAACAUUCAACGCUGUCGGUGAGUUUGGAAUUAAAGUGAAAACCAUCGACCGUUGAUUGUACCCUCCAGCUAACCAUCAUCCUCCUUACUUCAUGCUUUCAGGCCUUUCACUGAAGACAGCUGCCAAACCAGCACACAAGGUAUCUCUUCCCCCCACCCCAUCCUCUUUGCAGAGCUUUACUAAAAAGGUCACAAUCAACAUUCAUUGCUGUCGGUGGGUUUAACUAUGUGGACAAGCUCACUGAACAAUGAAUGCAACUGUGGCCCCACUUUUUGUGAUCACAAUCAAGAGGAAUAUCAGCUCUGAAAGCAGCACUGAAAGUCUUUCAUAUAUGAAACUUUUCUGAUCAAAAGACGAAUAUCUUCAGGAUUUUUUUUUUUUAAGCUGGUUUGACUCAGAUGGUUGAGACAACACUCACUCCUCCCUGGAGUUGAUUACAACAUAAAGGGAGCUCAUUCUGCCAUUAAUCUCUCUUACUUACUACAGAUAUUAACAAAAACUCUGGUAUAGAAAAAGCCUCCCUGUAUGCACCCCCGAGGACUCUGAACACAGGAGGAGAGAUGGUUGAAAACGCCUCUAAAAAUAUAUAUAAUAAAAUAAAAUCUAUGCACUGCAACAUUGCACAUGCAGAGCGAUGAUGGCUAUGUGUGUCCUUGGCAAAACAAGACAAACUCACCCCAAAAUUUCUUACAAAUGGGAGCCUUAGAUAAGAAUGGCGAUAAUAUUCCUGAUCUUGGUGUAAUACAAUUAACUGCUUUGUGAAGUUUAUUUAAACACCUAAUAAACAUUAAAAAACACAAA